rnacentral:rRNA from 1 species
CCUACGGGAGGCAGCAGUGGGGAAUCUUGCGCAAUGGGGGAAACCUUGACGCAGCAACGCCGCGUGGGUGAUGAAGGCCUUCGGGUCGUAAAGCCCUGUCAGGUGGGAAGAAACUUGUGGAUGUUAAUACCAUCCGCACUUGACGGUACCACCGGAAUAAGUCUCGGCUAACUACGUGCCAGCAGCCGCGGUAAAACGUAGGAGGCAAGCGUUAUCCGGAUUUACUGGGCGUAAAGCGCGUGCAGGCGGUACGGUAAGUCGGACGUGAAAGCUCCUGGCUCAACUGGGAGAGGCCGUUCGAUACUACCGAACUAGAGGGCAGGAGAGGGAGGUGGAAUUCCGGGUGUAGCGGUGAAAUGCGUAGAUAUCCGGAGGAACACCAGUGGCGAAGGCGGCCUCCUAGUCUGCCCCUGACGCUCAGACGCGAAAGCUAGGGGAGCGAACGGGAUUAGAAACCCCGGUAGUCCUAGCUGUAAACGAUGCGGACUUGGUGUGGGUGGCUUAAACUCCAUCUGUGCCGUAGCUAACGCGAUAAGUCCGCCGCCUGGGGACUACGACCGCAAGGUUAAAACUCAAAGGAAUUGACG